rnacentral:rRNA from 1 species
GCCUCAGUAACGGCGAGUGAAGCGGCAACAGCUCAAAUUUGAAAGCUGGCUCCUUCGGGGCCCGCGUUGUAAUUUGUAGAGGAUGCUUCGGGUGCAGUACCGGUCUAAGUUCUUUGGAACAAGACGUCAUAGAGGGUGAGAAUCCCGUAUGUGACUGGCUGCUUGCGCCUAUGUGAAGCUCCUUCGACGAGUCGAGUUGUUUGGGAAUGCAGCUCUAAAUGGGUGGUGUACUUCAUCUAAAGCUAAAUAUUGGCCAGAGACCGAUAGCGCACAAGUAGAGUGAUCGAAAGAUGAAAAGCACUUUGGAAAGAGAGUUAAACAGUACGUGAAAUUGUUGAAAGGGAAGCGCUUGCAAUCAGACUUGCGCGGCGUCGAUCAACUUGGGUUCUCCCUGGUGCACUCGGCGCCGCUCAGGCCAGCAUCAGUUUCGGCGGUUGGAUAAAGGCUCAGGGAACGUGGGUGGCCUCGGCCACCGUUAUAGCCCUGGGUGCAAUGCAGCCUGCCGGGACUGAGGACCGCGCUUCGGCUAGGAUGCUGGCGUAAUGGUUGUAAGCGACCCGUCUUGAAACACGGACCAAGGAGUCUAACAUCUAUGCGAGUGUUUGGGUGUCAAACCCAUACGCGUAAUGAAAGUGAACGGAGGUGAGAACCCUUAAGGGUGCAUCAUCGACCGAUCCUGAUGUCUUCGGAUGGAUUUGAGUAAGAGCAUAGCUGUUGGGACCCGAA